CCCUUAGAUGUCCUGGGCUGCACGCGCGCUACACUGAUGUGUCCAGUAAGCACCUAACCUCUUCCGAAAGGAACGGGUAACCUUUGCAAAGCACAUCGUGAUGGGGAUAGAUUAUUGCAAUUAUUAGUCUUGAACGAGGAAUUCCUAGUAAGCACAAGUCAUCAGCUUGUGUUGAUUACGUCCCUGCCCUUUGUACACACCGCCCGUCGCUCCUACCGAUUGAAUGUUCCGGUGAGCUCUUCGGACUGCGCGGUCUGCCGUUUCUGCGUUCCGUGCGGAAAGUUGCGCAAACCUUAACAUUUAGAGGAAGGAGAAGUCGUAACA
rnacentral:rRNA from 1 species